CAAAGGUGGGGGCACCAAAGGAGGGAGUUUCAAACCUAUUUAAAUCAAGCCUCUGGCCUAGAAAAUUCUCUCUGGCUGCAGUUGCUGUUUGGCUGUGGCCUGUGUGCUGCUCUCUGGAGCUGCUGCUGUGCCAGCCUGUGCCACCCUGUACUGUGUGCCAGCCUCUGCUGCCACUGGUCUCCUUUUUGUCCUUGCUUGUCCUUGCUUCCUUUGGCCAGUGUGUGGGACAGAUGAUACUGGAAGAAGAGAGGUCACUUUUCCAUCAAAGAUAUCCAGAAAGGUUACCAUCAACCUUCCUUUCACAUCUCUGUACCUGGCUGCUGAAUGAAUGAGAUUGGACAAAAAGCUCUCCAACCCAUCUGCUACUUAGCAGACAAUUGUGGACAAUGCCUCUAGCCUUGUUUUUACCUGACAGGCCAUCAAAUAUAGGGAGCAUGCACAGCUCCCAAAAUAGGUUAGGAGGCUUCUCCUACCCUUUUCUUGAUAAUGUGAACUGCCCUUAUGAUUCCAUGAAGACUUUCCUUGCACUUGGUUUUCCUCUGUAAUCCUCCAGCUCCAAACUUGGUGGUGGUUGUUGUUGUUUUCACCCCUAAGGUGUCUACAUGCAGCAAACAGUCACUUCGCAGCACAAAAAAAAACAAAAAAAAACCCACAACCCAGCUUUGGAGCAGGGAUUCUCUGUGGGGAAAUGACAUUUGUGGGAAGAACUUAUCUUCCAUCCCCUGUCCACCACAGUUCCAAUAGCAACUGGAGCUACUGAGGAUUGUUGUUGAUUUUAAGAAGUGCUUCUGAUUGGAAGCAUGCCUCUUAAAAGCACAUUUGCACGCACAUCAUCUUGUUUGAUCCUGGGAGAGAGUCUAGAAACCUCUCCUUCCAUGAGCAAUCCCCUAUUUAAAUCCCCCCCACAUAAGUUAGUAUUCGCUCUGUAAUGGGGGAAGAAAUGUACAGCAAAGCACCAUACAUGCAGAAGGUCCUGGUUCAAUCCUAUGCGGCCCCAGGCUUUAUUCGGACACAACACAAAACCGGAAUUAAAUGGGGCAGAGGUUGGAACUCUGUUACGUCAGAAUGCGUGAAACCGGGGUUUUGAGCUGAAAGCGACCCGCAGUUCAAACUCCAAUUUGAACCUUUGGUUUGCAGUAAGGUUCGCCGCCAAAACUGGAGGUUUGGCCACCACAGUGUUAUGUCCAAACGUGGACACCGCCAUAACCACUGUGCUGAUUUUGGAACCACAAUAAUAGGGAGGGCAUCUCAGACCUGCAAUAGCACUCUGUUUAUGGCUGGCAGUUGACAAGAGGGAGGUUUGGGCCCCUUCAGGCAUUGAACCUCAUACCUUCCCCACCAAAAAGGUACCUCUGCUUGAGUCAAAUAUUCUAGGGUGUAGGGGUGUAGUGAUACAGGGUGUAGUGAUACAGGGACAGGCAAGGACACAGUCCCAGUUCCGUUUUUCCUGAGUUCCUUGGUACCUGUGACUGUUGGGGUCUCAGCAGGGACACUAUGGCCUUUGCUUUCUAAAUGGAAAUAGUGUGCUAUCUUCCUAUGCUGACAGUUUGUUACAUAAGUGACUAUCAAGGAAGUGCCACUGGGGUGGGCAUGAUGGUCUGUGUGGGCAUAUCUAUGGCAGCAAUCAUGGAGAGUGCCUGCACUUCUGAAUUUGUGACUACACCACUGGUAAUUCAUCUUGGGGCCUAGCAGCCUUGUGCUUGCCCAUCAUUAGUACAAGGCAGCUUCAUGUUUAUAUAUAAUUUCCUGUUCUAUGAGAGCAGCACUUCCUUGAUCUACAGUUGCUAAUUAGUUAAACAGAAAUGCAGGCAGUCCUACUCAUGAAUCUCCUGCAUAAUGUCUAGCUUGGCCCUCACAAGCAGUGACUGGGCAUUAUAUCUUUUUAUACUAAGGCUUCUUGCAAAUAUGCCAUGCUAAAAAUUAUCCUUGCACUAACAAUAAAUUCGAGUAAUGUUCAAAGCAGAUUUUUUUUUAAAGCCUUUAUCUAAACUCAUGCUAUACUACAUUACAUUUUAUUAUGACCAUUUAGGAGGGGGCACAUAUAUAACUGUAGACUUGAAAGCCUGGAUCUACUAUGAUGAUGAAACGGUAGCCACAAAUUUGAAAUGUAAUAACCACAGAAACAUUUUGAUAAAUCUUCCUUUCUUCCUUUUUAAAGAGCAAUUUUUAUACUGAAGUUUCUACA